rnacentral:rRNA from 1 species
GAUAAACGCUGGCGGCGCACAUAAGACAUGCAAGUUGAACGGACUUAAUCGAAAUAUUUAUAUUUUGAAGCGGUUAGUGGCGGACUGGUGAGUAACGCGUAAGGAACCUGCCUAUUAGAGGGGAAUAACAGUGAGAAAUCAUUACUAAUACCGCAUAUGCCAUAGAUAUCACAUGAUAACAGUGGGAAAGGAGCAAUCCGCUAAUAGAUGGCCUUGCGUCGGAUUAGAUAGUUGGUGGGGUAACGGCCUACCAAGGCGACGAUCAGUAGCCGGACUGAGAGGUUGAACGGCCACAUCGGGACUGAGGUACGGGCCAGAAUCCUACGGGAGGCAGCAGUAGGGAAUAUUGCGAAAUGGAGGAAACUCUGACGCAGUGACGCAGCGUAUAGGAAGAAGGUUUUCGGAUUGUAAACUAUUGUGGUUAGGGAAGCGAAAGGACAGUACCUAAGCAGGAAGCUCCGGCUAACUACGUG